UUAAUAUAUGCGUGAGUCAUUGGGCGUUACGAAAUCUCAAGGUGUAUUGAAAGUAAAGGUUUGGCUUGUCUGAGCUAAGGUAAUAUCCUGUUUUUUGCUUAUAAAUUCCCAAAAUACGAGCCAUAGGCACAUCAGCAGCCUGUCUCAUGACAUAGAGAAGUGGAAUCGCGCUAUAUGCGACGUCGGGGUGGAGCAAGAGGGUACACACUGAUAUCUGAAAGAUGGUGAACCAUGCUUGCAAAGGUUGAGGUCAGAUAAAAGUCUGGUGGAGAGCUGUAGUGGUUCUGACGUGUGGAUCGAUCAUGCUACCAUCUGAAGGGUUAAGAGUGAACGCCUCUAAAUCUGA
rnacentral:ncRNA from 1 species